GGCCCUGUGGGAAAGUGGAUAAUCCGCUCCCCUCCGGAGGGAGAGGUCCCAGGUUCGAACCCUGGCUGGGUCG